rnacentral:rRNA from 1 species
UACGUAGGGUGCAGGCGUUAAUCGGAAUUACUGGGCGUAAAGCGUGCGCAGGCGGUCUUUUAAGUCAGAUGUGAAAUCCCCGGGCUUAACCUGGGAACUGCGUUUGAAACUGGAAGGCUAGAGUGUGGCGGAGGGGGGUGGAAUUCCACGUGUAGCAGUGAAAUGCGUAGAUAUCAGGAGGAAUACCGAUGGCGAAGGCAGGUCUCUGGGCUAUAACUGACGCUCAUGCACGAAAGCGUGGGGAGCAAACAGG